rnacentral:misc_RNA from 1 species
GAUGAAGAACGCAGCGAAAUGCGAUAAGUAAUGUGAAUUGCAGAAUUCAGUGAAUCAUCGAAUCUUUGAACGCACAUUGCGCCCGCCAGCAUUCUGGCGGGCAUGCCUGUUCGAGCGUCAUUUCAACCCUCGAGCCCCCCCGGGGGCCUCGGUGUUGGGGGACGGCACACCAGCCGCCCCCGAAAUGCAGUGGCGACCCCGCCGCAGCCUCCCCUGCGUAGUAGCACACACCUCGCACCGGAGCGCGGAGGCGGUCACGCCGUAAAACGCCCAACUUUCUUAGAGUUAACCUCGGAUCAGGUAGGAAUACCCGCUGAACUUAAGCAUAUCAAUAAGCGGAGGA